rnacentral:lncRNA from 10 species
AGCCUGGAACUCCUGCUCCCGUCCAAAGAAUCAGGCCCUGUGGGUGGGAAGGAAACAGAGGAACAGGCCAGGACAAUCACCUUACAGAAAAUGGGCAGAAAUUGUACACAUGACUUCUGUUUAUGUUUCAUUGGUGAGAACUUUGUCACGUAACCACAGCAAACCUCAAGGGAACCUGGGAAAUUUAGUUUUCAGUUGAAUUGCCAUGUGUCCAGGAAGAAAAGCAGAAUGAAUUUUGGGGACAACCAGUAGUCUGUCACAUCUCAUUUGGACAGAUUUUUUUUUUUUUAAUGCAGGAAGGAAAUACUGUGGCUAUCUCUAAGUUAAUACGGUUUGUAAAGACUGUUUCCUCUACACUUUCUGAAUUACCUAAACUUUGUGCAGUGAUCAUCUAUUUCUUUCAUAACCAGAAAGGAGCACGUGCCAAGCGACCGAAGAGUUGAGGCUACCUUCUGACUCUACAGCUUGUGGUUGUGAACCAACAUUACACAUCUCCCCAUACUGUCAGAAACUGUAUCAGCAGUCCUCAGAGCUGGAAACAGCAGUCACAGAAUGAGGUCCUACAGAAGCAAUGCAGAUUGAGAUGAAGGCCUGCACGAGCAGUGGUUUGCAUUUCAGGAAAAGGACUUUGAAUUUAGGGAACUUGAAUCUUUUAUACUGGACAGCCAGCAUGCCCUGCCUUUGCACCAAAGGGAGACACUAUCUCUGUCUUCAAAGACUGUUUGCUGUACAAACUUCAUCAAAGACAUUCUUGGGCAACAGAUAGUCGAUGUCUCUGCUCCUAAGAUAUGCAGAAAUGUGACAGAUGCGUGGAAAAGUUCUCCCAGCAGUGCUAAGCCUGCUGUAGCACUUUAAAAAGCUAAAGAAGUAAGACCUCAGCCCUCCAGAAUUCAGUGGAAGAUCAACUAGCUGAUGUGGAACUACAAGCAAAACAUUUCACUUUUCAGUGCUUUUCUUUCUGUGAUUACAAAAUAGGAAUGAUAUCUGCCCACUCACUGCUUAUUUUGAGAAAUAAAGGAAAAAGAACAGUCUGACAAAUGCUUUGAGUUUCAUGAUGGACACUAAAAUAGGAGAACAUCAUAUAAAGACAUACUGGGUCCUAAUCACACUUUUAUUCUCCAAUGACUUUGGGGAAAGUAUGACAAAUUUACAUAUAUUUUAUUCUGAUAAGGUGGAAAUACUGUGGUUUUUUUUUUGUAAGUGCUGAACAUGAGUUUAAGCCCUUAGUUUUGUCAAACUAUAAAGCUGACUAAAUAUGUUUAAACACUAUUUUUAUUGAAACUGCUGUUUAGAUUUCUUAAGAAAUCAAAUAGGUUUGCUG